GCCUCAGUAACGGCGAUGUGAAGCGGCAACAGCUCAAAUUUGAAAUCUGGGUCCUUGCGGCCCGAGUUGUAAUUUGCAGAGGAUGCUUUUGGCGCGGUGCCUUCCAAGUUCCCUGGAACGGGACGCCUUAGAGGGUGAGAGCCCCGUACGGUUGGACACCAAGCCUUUGUAAAGCUCCUUCGACGAGUCGAGUAGUUUGGGAAUGCUGCUCUAAAUGGGAGGUAUAUUUCUUCUAAAGCUAAAUACCGGCCAGAGACCGAUAGCGCACAAGUGAGAGUGAUCGAAAGAUGAAAAGCACUUUGAAAAGAGGGUUAAACAGCACGUGAAAUUGUUAAAAGGGAAGCGCUUGUGACCAGACUUGCGCCCGGUGAAUCACCCAGCUCUCGCGGCUGGGGCACUUUGCCGGCUCAGGCCAGCAUCAGUCUUGCCGUCGGGGACAAAAGCUUCGGGAACGUAGCUCUCUUCGGGGAGUGUUAUAGCCCGUUGCACAAUACCCUUCGGCGGGCUGAG
rnacentral:rRNA from 1 species